AAAAAAAAGAAUCUCGCAAGCACAGCGGAAAAAAAGGAGCAGCGGGCACCGCUGCCAUGGAUGAGCGAGGGCGACCAACUUCAAAUCACCACCGGUCGCACCCCCCCCCCACCCCGCCGAUGGUCACCGCCGAUCGCCGCCCCUCACCGAUGGUCGCCGCCGGUGGCCAGCUCCACACAUGUAACAUCGACACCCGUGGUUGUAGCUCCGGUGGCAACAAUUGCAGCUCCGAUGGCGGGGGCCAUAUCCCGCCAUCAUCCUCGUCGCCACUGACGCCUGAUGCCACAGCUCGUUGGUCAGAUCUCACCGUCGUAACAUCUCGGUCACCUGUUCCAGCAAAAGCGAGCGCCCGUUCCAGCAAAAUCGACAACGGUUGUAGCAAAAUCGACAACGGUUGUAGCAAAUUUUGACACCGGUUGUAGCAAAAACCGAUGAUUACCGUGGUGGCUGGCGAGCCCUGGAUGCAGCACCGCAGGCCGUCGUCUCCAUGGGUUCCAGCAAAGAAGGCUCCAAUUAUUGUAGCAAAAAAAUACUAGCUUCCAGGAAAAAUAUGCACCGGUUCCAGCAAAGCAAAAUUACCAGGGAAAAGCUCCAGGGUCGAUUGUAGCAAAAAAAUCAAGCUACUUCCAGCAAAAUAACAUGCCGGUUCUAGCAAAAACACAAAAUCCGGUGCCGGUUCCAGCUCCUUGCCAUGCCGGUUCCCAGCAUGCGGCCGUGGUGACCGCGGUCGCAACAUCCACGUCGUCCUAUUCCAGCUCGUGCUGAACACGGUUGCAGCACACCGGUCGACGUGGUGAUGCCAUGGAAGCACGACACCUCGUCGGUUGUAGCACGGUGGCUUCACCGGUUCCGGCAUGCCGCAGGACGUCGACGUUCGCGCUGCCAAAUGCCUCUAGACAGCAGCAGCGGCGCUACGCCCCUGAUUGGAAGCAGGUUGGUGUUGUGGGGGAGGGGAUGGGGGUCGCACUUGAGAGGCGAUGGAAAAGGUGGAGCUCAUCCAUGGCUAUUGAGCGCAGGAGGUAGGUGGGGAUGGAGCAGAGGAGAAAGAGGGCUAAG
rnacentral:lncRNA from 1 species